rnacentral:rRNA from 1 species
AGAGUUUGAUCCUGGCUCAGGAUGAACGCUAGCUACAGGCUUAACACAUGCAAGUCGAGGGGAAACGGCAUCGAAAGCUUGCUUUUGAUGGGCGUCGACCGGCGCACGGGUGAGUAACGCGUAUCCAACCUGCCCACCACUUGGGGAUAACCUUGCGAAAGUAAGACUAAUACCCAAUGACGUCUCUAGAAGACAUCUGAAAAGAGAUUAAAGAUUUAUCGGUGAUGGAUGGGGAUGCGUCUGAUUAGCUUGUUGGCGGGUAACGGCCACCAAGGCGACGACCAGUAGGGGUUCUGAGAGGAACGGUCCCCACAUUGGAACUGAGACACGGUCCAAACUCCUGCGGGAGCA